rnacentral:rRNA from 1 species
GACCGAGGGUGCAAACGUUGUUCGGAAUUACUGGGCGUAAAGCGCGUGUAGGCGGUCUCAUAAGUCGGAUGUGAAAGCCCUGGGCUCAACCCAGGAAGUGCACUCGAUACUGCGAGGCUAGAGUAUCGGAGAGGUUGGUGGAAUUCUCGGUGUAGAGGUGAAAUUCGUAGAUAUCGAGAGGAACACCGGUGGCGAAGGCGGCCAACUGGACGAAUACUGACGCUGAGACUCGAAAGCGUGGGGAGCAAACAGG